AGAGUUUGAUCUUGGCUCAGGAUGAACGCCGGCGGUGUGCCUAAUACAUGCAAGUCGAGCGCACUGGCCCAACUGAUAUGACGUGCUUGCACUGAAUUGACGUUGGAUUACCAGUGAGCGGCGGACGGGUGAGUAACACGUGGGCAACCUGCCCUGAAGCGGGGGAUAACAUCUGGAAACAGGUGCUAAUACCGCAUAACAACGAAAACCACAUGGUUUUCGUUUCAAAGAUGGUUUCGGCUAUCACUUCAGGAUGGGCCCGCGGUGCAUUAGCUAGUUGGUAAGGUAACGGCUUACCAAGGCAAUGAUGCAUAGCCGAGUUGAGAGACUGAUCGGCCACAAUGGAACUGAGACACGGUCCAUACUCCUACGGGAGGCAGCAGUAGGGAAUCUUCCACAAUGGGCGCAAGCCUGAUGGAGCAACACCGCGUGAGUGAAGAAGGGUUUCGGCUCGUAAAGCUCUGUUGUUGGAGAAGAACGUGCGUGAGAGUAACUGUUCACGCAGUGACGGUAUCCAACCAGAAAGUCACGGCUAACUACGUGCCAGCAGCCGCGGUAAUACGUAGGUGGCAAGCGUUAUCCGGAUUUAUUGGGCGUAAAGCGAGCGCAGGCGGUUGCUUAGGUCUGAUGUGAAAGCCUUCGGCUUAACCGAAGAAGGGCAUCGGAAACCGGGCGACUUGAGUGCAGAAGAAGACAGUGGAACUCCAUGUGUAGCGGUGGAAUGCGUAGAUAUAUGGAAAACACCAGUGGCGAAGCGGCUGUCUGGUCUGCAACUGACGCUGAGCUCGAAGCAUGGUAGCGAACAGGAUAGAUACCUGGUAUCAAGGCGAUUCUUUAACUGCAGAUAUCCUUAUGAGGUAAUCUAACUG
rnacentral:rRNA from 1 species